AAACUGAAGAGUUUGAUCAUGGCUCAGAUUGAACGCUGGCGGUAUGCUUAACACAUGCAAGUCGAACGGUAGCAGGCCUUCGGGCGCUGACGAGUGGCGGACGGGUGAGUAACGCGUAGGAAUCUGCCUAUUAGUGGGGGACAACGUGGGGAAACUCACGCUAAUACCGCAUACGCCCUACGGGGGAAAGGAGGGGACCUUCGGGCCUUUCGCUAAUAGAUGAGCCUGCGUUGGAUUAGCUAGUUGGUAGGGUAAAGGCCUACCAAGGCGACGAUCCAUAGCUGGUCUGAGAGGACGAUCAGCCACACUGGGACUGAGACACGGCCCAGACUCCUACGGGAGGCAGCAGUGGGGAUUAUUGGACAAUGGGCGAAAG
rnacentral:rRNA from 1 species